CUCUCCUGUGUUGGUUCAUUUGUCUUCCAUACUGUUGUUUCCUGUGCCAGUGUUUCUUGUGUUUUCUUCUGUUGGACUUCUUCAUGUUUGUUUUUUCUGCUGGUCACCUCCAGUUUCAAGUGUUGCCUCUGAGGUGACAAAAUGUGGUUAAACUGUCAAAAAAAAAAAGACUCUGCAGCUACAACAAGCAAUGGAAACCAUAAGAGACAUUGGGUUGAACUGGUCAGCAGCGAUCCAACGAAAGCCUUCUGCAAUCCAUGCAUCCAUGGA